rnacentral:rRNA from 1 species
AGGACGAACGCUGGCGGCGUGCCUAACACAUGCAAGUCGAGCGGAGUUAACAAGAGGAAGUUUCGGAUGGAAUUUGUAAUUAGCGGCGGACGGGUGAGUAACGCGUGAGCGACCAACCUUGCACAGGGGGAUAACGGACCGAAAGGUUCACUAAUACCGCAUGAGACCACGGUGUUGCAUGACACAGAGGUCAAAGGAGCAAUCCGGUGCAAGACGGGCUCGCGUCCGAUUAGGUAGUUGGUGGGGUAAUGGCCCACCAAGCCUAUGAUCGGUAGCCGACCUGAGAGGGUGAUCGGCCACAUUGGAACUGAGAUACGGUCCAAACUCCUACGGGAGGCAGCAGUGGGGAAUAUUGGGCAAUGGGGGGAAACCCUGACCCAGCAACGCCGCGUGAAGGAAGAAGGUUUUCGGAUUGUAAACUUCUGUCCUUGGUGAAGAGAAGAAGACGGUAGCCAAGGAGGAAGCCCCGGCUAACUACGUGCCAGCCGCCGC